AGCAACUCUGAUGUACAGCAACAUCUUCAUCUUCCAGUUGUUGUAGUCAUCCUUGUCAAAUGAAGGUACUUUGAUUCCUAACUUGUGUGUCGACAUUGUUAUCAGAUAAAAUUACGAUUGUACGGACAGCUAGCUUUUCAGAUUGGUUACGGAUCUCAGAUCUGUAUAUCAAUCAACCUGGCUCUGAUACCAAUUGUUAGGUCCAAUCAGACGUAGAAGGGGGGGGUUGAAUACGUCGUACCAAUUUCUUCGAUUUAAUUUAAUUGCGGAUAAUCUUUUUUUCAGUCCAUGUUAAAUCAAUCGUAAAUAAAUAACUCCAGCAAGUCGGGGAAUAUUCUUGUAUUAGAAAUAAUCCUCGGGUGCUACA
rnacentral:lncRNA from 1 species